rnacentral:lncRNA from 1 species
CUCUUGGGAGGUGGAAGACUAAGUCACUGGGCGCAUGUCUUUGAAGGGUACAUCUGGUCCUUGGCCCCUUCCUCUCAGGCUCUUUCACCAUCUCUUCUUCCUGUUUGCUAUGAGGAAUGACAGCAUCAGUAGAAGCUGAAGUCACUGCUGGAUAAACAUGAGAUGAACAUCAGUGGAAAAUCAGCUUCUGGGUUAUAAAGAAAAUGGAGAAAGUCUUAUAAGCACAACAGAUUGGAAAACUAAAAUAAAGAUACAUCUGUGUUUCCCAGGUUUCACAGAGCCCAUAACCGAUUAACAAACCCACUGC